UUGUGGAAAACUGGAGAGGAAUUGGACGUGGGCAAUUGUCUCUGCCCCAAAAAAGCAAGUAUAAUUAUCUCUGCCCAGCAGUACGUACAAGGGAAAUUAUUUCUGCUCAGAAGUGUACGUAAGAAACAUGGAGAUUUGCAAACUGAUUAAAUUACACACAAAAUAUGAGUAGAUAUCAAAGUGCAAACACUGAUAAGCCAGUUGCAACGCUGCGUUUGCAACAUGCUAACACAUCUCGCCUGUUUAUUAGUUAUAUUACAUUUAAGAUUUGCAGACUGAUUAAAUUACACACAAAUUUGAGUAGACAUCAAAGGGCAAACACUGAUAAGCCAGUUGCAACACUGCGUUUGCAACAUGCUAACACAUCUCGCUUGUUUAUUAGUUAUAUUACAUUUAAUCACACUCAAACAGAAAACUUCACAGACACGAUAUUGUGAUCAACAAGCCUGGAACAUCUUGAUUGUUCAAUAACCGGCAUUAUCAGGUCCCUGAUUAGC
rnacentral:lncRNA from 1 species